CUGAAAUUCGCCUUCAUGAAGCCGGAAUUGCUAGUAAUGGCAGGUCAGCAUACUGCCGUGAAUACGUUCCCGGGCCUUGUACACACCGCCCGUCACACCAUGAGAGUUGGGAAUACCCGAAGCCUGUGAGCUAACGUUAAGAGGCAGCAGUCGAAGGUAGAAUCAAUGAUUGGGGUGAAGUCGUAACAAGGUACC
rnacentral:rRNA from 1 species